rnacentral:rRNA from 1 species
UACGGAGGGGCUAGCGUUGUUCGGAAUUACUGGGCGUAAAGCGCACGUAGGCGGCUUUGUAAGUUAGAGGUGAAAGCCCAGAGCUCAACUCUGGAACUGCCUUUAAGACUGCAUCGCUUGAAUUGUGGAGAGGUAAGUGGAAUUCCGAGUGUAGAGGUGAAAUUCGUAGAUAUUCGGAAGAACACCAGUGGCGAAAGCGGCUCCUGGUCCAGCACCGGACGUCAGGCACGAAAGCGUGGGGAGCAAACAGG